UCGUGUCGUGUAGAUGUUCGGUUAAGUCCGCUAACGAGCGCAACCCUCACUGUGUGUUACAUGUGUCACACGGGACUGCCGGUUUUAAGCCGGAGGAAGGCGGGGAGUGACGUCAAGUCAGCAUGGCCUUUAUAUCUUGGGCUACACACACGCUACAAUGGUCUGUACAAUAGGUUGCCAAGCCGCGAGGCGGAGCCAAUCCUAAAAGCAGGCCUCAGUUCAGAUUGCAGUCUGCAACCCGACUGCAUGAAGAUGGAGUUGCUAGUAACCGCAGGUCAGCUAUACUGCGGUGAAUACGUUCCCGGGUCUU
rnacentral:rRNA from 1 species